CACUCCUGCGGGAGGCAGCAGUGGGGAAUUUUGGACAAUGGGCGAAAGCCUGAUCCAGCAAUGCCGCGUGUGUGAAGAAGGCCUUCGGGUUGUAAAGCACUUUUGUCCGGAAAGAAAUCCUUGGCUCUAAUACAGUCGGGGGAUGACGGUACCGGAAGAAUAAGCACCGGCUAACUACGUGCCAGCAGCCGCGGUAAUACGUAGGGUGCGAGCGUUAAUCGGAAUUACUGGGCGUAAAGCGUGCGCAGGCGGUUUGCUAAGACCGAUGUGAAAUCCCCGGGCUCAACCUGGGAACUGCAUUGGUGACUGGCAGGCUAGAGUAUGGCAGAGGGGGGUAGAAUUCCACGUGUAGCAGUGAAAUGCGUAGAGAUGUGGAGGAAUACCGAUGGCGAAGGCAGCCCCCUGGGCCAAUACUGACGCUCAUGCACGAAAGCGUGGGGAGCAAACAGGAUUAGAUACCCGUGUAGUCCCAUGA
rnacentral:rRNA from 1 species